GGAUUAGAUACCCUGGUAGUCCAUGCCGUAAACGUUGGGCACUAGGUGUGGGGACCAUUCCACGGUUUCCGCGCCGCAGCUAACGCAUUAAGUGCCCCGCCUGGGGAGUACGGCCGCAAGGCUAAAACUCAAAGGAAUUGACGGGGGCCCGCACAAGCGGCGGAGCAUGCGGAUUAAUUCGAUGCAACGCGAAGAACCUUACCAAGGCUUGACAUGUUCUCGAUCGCCGUAGAGAUACGGUUUCCCCUUUGGGGCGGGUUCACAGGUGGUGCAUGGUUGUCGUCAGCUCGUGCC
rnacentral:rRNA from 1 species